rnacentral:rRNA from 1 species
UGGGGAAUAUUGGACAAUGGGCGGAAGCCUGAUCCAGCCAUGCCGCGUGUGUGAAGAAGGCCUUUUGGUUGUAAAGCACUUUAAGCGAGGAGGAGGCUACUUGGAUUAAUACUCUAGGAUAGUGGACGUUACUCGCAGAAUAAGCACCGGCUAACUCUCUGCCAGCAGCCGCGGUAAUACAGAGGGUGCGAGCGUUAAUCGGAUUUACUGGGCGUAAAGCGUGCGUAGGCGGCUUCUUAAGUCGGAUGUGAAAUCCCUGAGCUUAACUUAGGAAGUGCAUUCGAUACUGGGAAGCUAGAGUAUGGGAGAGGAUGGUAGAAUUCCAGGUGUAGCGGUGAAAUGCGUAGAGAUCUGGAGGAAUACCGAUGGCGAAGGCAGCCAUCUGGCCUAAUACUGACGCUGAGGUACGAAAGCAUGGGGAGCAAACAGG